rnacentral:rRNA from 1 species
AUUGAACGCUGGCGGCAGGCCUAACACAUGCAAGUCGAACGAGUGGCGGACGGGUGAGUAAUGUCUGGGAAACUGCCCGAUGGAGGGGGAUAACUACUGGAAACGGUAGCUAAUACCGCAUACCAUCGGAUGUGCCCAGAUGGGAUUAGCUAGUGGGUGGGGUAAAGGAUCACCUAGGCGAAGAUGCCUAGCUGGUCUGAGAGGAUUACCAGGCACACUGGAACUGAGAUACGGUCCAGACGCCUACGCGACGCACCGGUGGGGAAUAUUGCACAAUGUGCGCAAGCCUGAUGCAGCCAUGCCGCGUGUAUGAAGAAGGCAUUCGGGUUUUAAAGUACUUUCAGCGGGAAGGCGGUACCCGCAGAAUAAGCACCGGCUAACUCCGUGCCAGCAGCCGCGGUAAUAC